rnacentral:rRNA from 1 species
UGGGGAAUUUUGGACAAUGGGCGAAAGCCUGAUCCAGCCAUGCCGCGUGAGUGAAGAAGGCCUUCGGGUUGUAAAGCUCUUUUAGUCGGAAAGAAAGAGUUGCAAUGAAUAAUUGUGAUUUAUGACGGUACCGACAGAAAAAGCACCGGCUAACUACGUGCCAGCAGCCGCGGUAAUACGUAGGGUGCGAGCGUUAAUCGGAAUUACUGGGCGUAAAGGGUGCGCAGGCGGUUUUGUAAGUCAGAUGUGAAAUCCCCGGGCUUAACCUGGGAAUUGCGUUUGAAACUGCAAGACUAGAGUGCAGCAGAGGGGAGUGGAAUUCCAUGUGUAGCAGUAAAAUGCGUAGAGAUGUGGAAGAACACCGAUGGCGAAGGCAGCUCCCUGGGUUGACACUGACGCUCAUGCACGAAAGCGUGGGGAGCAAACA